rnacentral:rRNA from 1 species
UAGGGAAGUCUUCCACAAUGGACGAAAGUCUGAUGGAGCAACGACCGCGUGAGUGAAGAAGGGUUUCGGCUCGUAAAGACUCUGUUGGUAGUGAAGAAAGAUAGAGGUAGUAACUGGCCUUUAUUUGACGGUAAUUACUUAGAAAGUCACGGCUAACUACGUGCC